AUUGAACGCUGGCGGCAGGCUUAACACAUGCAAGUCGAGCGAGCGGCGGACGGGUGAGUAAUGUCUGGGAAACUGCCUGAUGGAGGGGGAUAACUACUGGAAACGGUAGCUAAUACCGCAUACCAUCAGAUGUGCCCAGAUGGGAUUAGCUAGUAGGUGGGGUAGUGGCUCACCUAGGCGACGAUCCCUAGCUGGUCUGAGAGGAUGACUAGCCACACUGGAACUGAGACACGGUCAAGCCAGCAACGGGAGGCAGCAGUGGGGAAUAUUGACCAAUGGGCACAAGCCUGAGGCAGCCAUGCCGCGUGUGUGAAGAAGGCCGUCGGGUUGUAAAGCACGUUCAGCGAGGAGGCGUUACUCGCAGAAUAGGCACCGGCUAACUCCGUGGCAGCCGCCGCGGUAAUAC
rnacentral:rRNA from 1 species